rnacentral:rRNA from 1 species
UACGAACCGUGCGAACGUUAUUCGGAAUCACUGGGCUUAAAGCGCGUGUAGGCGGGCCGCCACGUCGGCUGCUGAAAUCCCCCGGCUCAACCGGGGAACGGGCACCGAUACGAGCGGCCUCGAGGGGGGUAGGGGGGUCUGGAACUUCCGGUGGAGCGGUGAAAUGCGUUGAGAUCGGAAGGAACGCCCGUGGCGAAAGCGAGGCCCUGGACCCUUACUGACGCUGAGACGCGAAAGCCAGGGGAGCAAACGGG